rnacentral:lncRNA from 8 species
GUCUGGAUCUUCAGAAAAGUAAAACAUCAAACUAAUUAGCGUAAUAUGUUUAAAUUUAGAUAAUAUAUUUUUUAAAGUUUAGUUUUCACGACGUUGUGUCCAGUGUGCAUACCUUUAGUAGCUUUGGGACACCCGAUGAUGUCCCAAAGCAAAAUUUUUGGCAAGCUGGUUGGUAAGCAUGCCUUGCUGGAUGCUUGAUGCUGAAGGAAAUCUGCCUACCUGAUGGUAGAGGUGGUGAAAGGGAAGACUUGUCCCGGGAGCCGCGUAUGCAUUGAGGCACUGCUAACCAUCCUACCUCGCAGAGACCUGCACCCUCGCCUGGUGUCGAAUCCCUCAAUGUCUUUGUGGCAUCCUGCUACACUUACUCCUGUCGUCCUGUAGAGAUGGCCAUCGAUGACCGACUAGACUACACAACUCAAGGUGUUUACUUUGGAUGCCCUCCCAGGCACUCCUCCCAGGGCUUAAUGACUGGAUUUACUGCAUCAAUUAGCCAUCAGGGUCUCUGAGAGGCCUGGCUGGCUGAUCGAUUGUUCUGUAGCAGCUGAUGUCCCCUCGCCGUGCUGUUCUGCACUGCUCUGGACCAUGCUAACUGCAUGUCUGAAUGUAAACCUAGUACAAUGUAAUUAAAUUAAAUAAAACAUUUUCUACUCAAGGUUAUUAUUGGAUUCUUUCUAAUGUUUAUUCACUUGAGAUGUUAAGACUUUUGCAUAUGU